CGCGAGCUAGAUCAAAGCAUAUAUUGCAUUCGAAAUCACCAGCAACAUUGUCGCUACUUGAUUCCCCAAUAUCAUUUUCCAUUUAGGGUAGUCCUUAAAACUGGUAUUCCUGAGAGUGUUUAUAAAGAACCUAUAUUAGUGCUUUUAUCAGUCAUUAACUACAUAACAAAUUUACAAUUUGCAAAUAUAACUACUUCUUAAGCUUGAAGAUUACCAAAUACAGUACUUUAAACAAAGAAAAAAAUUGAUUUCUGCACACAGUUGCCAAAGUACGUCUGUUACUUCUAUAAGCAUUCAAAGCACUUAAAUGAUCAACGUCUCUCAAGUUUCUACGGGAGCAGCAUCAAAAAUUAAUUCUAUGUUGCUAUUCGAAAAUAGUAUUCUCCGUGGAUUAACC
rnacentral:lncRNA from 1 species